AACACAAACCCCGGCGCUGAAUGCGUCAAGGAAUUUUAAAUUUGCUCUGAGCGCACCUGCAUGGCACCGGAGACGGUUUUCGUGCGGGUUGUGCUCUCACACAUAAUAUAGAAUGACUCUCGGCAACGGAUAUCUAGGCUCUUGCAUCGAUGAAGAACGUAGCGAAAUGCGAUACUUGGUGUGAAUUGCAGAAUCCCGUGAACCAUCGAGUCUUUGAACGCAAGUUGCGCCCGAUGCCAUUAGGUUGAGGGCACGUCUGCCUGGGCGUCACAUAUCGAAGCCUCUUGACAAUUUCCUUUUGAUAGGUAUUGUGCAGGGGGGAUGUUGGCCUCCCGUGAGCUCCAUCGUCUCAUGGUUGGUUGAAAAUCGAGACCUUGGUAGGGUGUGCCAUGAUAGAUGGUGGCUGUGUUACGCACGAGACCAAGUCAUGUGCUACUCUAUUGAAUUUAGCCUCUUUUACCCACAUGCGUUUCUAAACGCUCGUGAUGAGACCUCAGGUCAGGCGGGGCUACCCGCUGAAUUUAAGCAUAUCAAUAAGCGGAGGAAAAGAAACUAACAAGGAUUCC
rnacentral:rRNA from 1 species